AGCUUUGCCCAGUGGCAGUAUCACAGCCAAUGAGGUUAUUCCAAAGUGUGAUUACUGCUAGUUGAAACCUUUUUCUAGUAUCCCACCAUGUUAACUUGAAAUAUAGCUAAUUCUGGCAAAUUUGAUAGACUCCAUUAAUGCAUCCAGGCAGAAUUCCUUUGGGAG
ensembl:snRNA U4 U4 spliceosomal RNA